UCACUGUUCCAAUACUUUUGGAGGGCACUGUAUACAAAGUGCCUCUCGUAUGCCUCCUGACUAUUAAAGGUUCCUCCUGAGACUCCUGAUAUGUAGGUUACAGCUUAAAGUUGAGACACAACUCCUCCAUCAUGUCAUAACAUGUCUUUCUUUCUCUCCUUCUCCUUCUCCUUCUCUCUCUCUCUCUCUCUCUCUCUCUCUCUCUCUCUCUCUCUCUUUCUCUCUCUCUCAAUCUCUCUCUCUUUCUUUAUCUCAUCCAUAACUGCCACCUGCAUACCUAAUCACGGCUGCUUUUUGUUGAAUACAUUUGUGUAUUUUAAAACCUAGCCCUUAUUCAGAGGAAAUUCUCCAGAGAAAACACUUGUACACGCCUCUCCUGUAACUCCUGCAGCCCAACUAUGGGGAGAGGGGAUGGUGAGCCGACCUAAGAGAGAGAGUGAGAGAGAGUUUAUCCCACUUCUGUCUUGAACACCACCAUGACAUCUCCAUUCUUCUUUGGAAUCGACACCUUCCUGAAGGAGGAUGAAGAGGAGAGAAGGAACCCAAUAGGCAACGGAGAAAAUGUGAGAAAGCUCAGUCAAUCUUUUUCAGGAUUCUUGACUGUGGCUUUGUGGGUCUAUGUGAGACUCCCCCCAGCCUGGUGACAGCAAGCUGCAUUGGUCUGAGAAGAGGUGAAGACAAAGCACACAGCAGUCUGAGGCUAGGUGUGAUUAAUGGCCAAGGUGUGUGUUGCAGUGGGCAUCCUCAGGGCAGGGACAGAUCAGUCUUCCUGUAAGACAAAUCUGACACCCCUUCCUCCUCCCCCUGCCAAACCCCACCUUACCUGCUUCCUCUCCAUCUUCCAAACCUGGUCAACUCACAGCCAAGUGCACCCAGCACAGCAUCACAUCCAUAAAUCAUCCUAAACAAAGCACGUUUAAUCUGUGACGCGCAGGCUCGACACACACAUUUAUUACCUGUUGUAGGCAAACUGAAUAUGUCCCCCUGUGUCUGUCGUCUGUUUACCUUUGAGAAACAAGUAAAAGUGUUUACAAAAAAUACAUAAAUAAAUAAGUAAAUCACAAGAAAGCUGAUGAUAGCAAUGUAUUUCUGUUGAAUUCUAAAGACAAAGGCUGGCGUUGCUUGAUAGUCUUUUCACGGUGGAUGAUAUGCUUCAGACUCCCUCGAUUGCACUUGCCAAAAAGAUUUGAGGAUUUUACUCAUUUGUAAGACAUGAAUACUAACUGAUCUUUCAUGGAUUAGGGUUAGAUGGUGUAUGCCUGGAAAUGACUCACAUAGCUGGGGAAAAAUUGGGAAUGUUCGAUUGCAUGACCGUGGGUUAUUGGAAUCAAAUAGUAACCAUAUUCUAAUCCAACAGCAUGAGGACAUGAGAGCUUUACAUUAAACUCAAUAUUCAAUGACAACAUGUCAAGCAUAAAAAAAUGAUGUUUACUGUCAAACAUGAAAUAAAAACCAGUUUACAUUAACUUAACCAUAGCAACGGUUUACAUAUGUCAGAUAUAUGUAACAGUGUGAAGACUUUGAACAGAUACACUGACUGAUGUUCAAUAUUGGCAGUCCAAAAUCUAGAGAAUUGACAAUUUUGCCCUCUUCAAAAAUUUUCUUCAGUCAAAAACCAUAACUGCUGUUCACAGAAGCCCUGAGAUAGUGUAUCUUUUCUUUCUCAGCCAUACAAUCUGCCAGAGUGAAUUACAGUAGAAAUUGCUUGAUGGCAUGUCAUAGCUUAAAAUACCAGAGGAAGAAAUAGGAUGGUUGAAAGGAAGAUAUGAAAAUGGUCUCUCCCACACAUUCACAUUUAUGUUGGCAGGCUGACUUGAUGCUGCUCCUCAACAUGUCUAAGUAGUGAGACUGGUGGUGAUGGGAAGUGAUGGCACAUGCUGACUCGCUAUGAUGGCAGAGACGGGCACACUGAUAAUUAGAGGAAAUGGGCUAAAGCCAGCAAAUAGUUGUUGUCCUUAAAGUGCAAUGGGAUGAAUUGUCAUAAUCUGUGUGUUUAGUAAAAAAUAAAUACAAAUAACCUUCACAUGCAUUUAACACUGUCAGACAUAAUCCUGAUUUGUAAUUUCCAAUUAAUUAUUUUACUAAACAUAGAUUGUAAGUUCUCAAUUAUCUGCAGUAUCCAGAGGCUUUAAAAAAACAACCUUACACAACUAUUAACAAUGGAUUUGUAAGUCAUAUUUCAAUAAGAUACAGUUGCAAUAAUUAUGUCUGUUUUGGUUUAUAAUGUGUAGGUACAAAAAAACACAUCUCAUUCAUUAAAUGGUGUUUAUUGCAGAUAUUUUUGCUCAAAUGACCUGACAACAAAAUGUCAGUGUGAAUUAUGCGGUAGUCAUUUCAAAUGAUUGAUGAAAUCAUACUUGAAAUUAAGGACAAAAUGAAAAAUGGGAAGUGGAGUUUCAUUUCUGACCUUGUUAAAUUUUUAAUGAGCUUAGUACGAUGGCUUCUGCAUUUUAUAAAUGGAACUUUAGUGCCUUUGAAUGUUGGAGGUAAUUACAGUUAUAACUUGGAACUCUUGUCUAGUUUUGUUUUCUGUAUGACAAAGGGCCAAUCAAAAACAAACAGGCAGUUGUAUGUGUGGGCUCUUUCACCUUGCAGCGACAUACGAGUAGAGCCACAGCAUGAUGUACAGAGCACAAUGAUGGGUUCAAAAAAAGAAGCCCAGAGGAUUUGAAAUCUCAAGAGGGAUAAAAUCCUCAUUAAGAAGAACUUACUUUACAUAUCUCUGCAGGUCCUCUUAAGAAGCAUUCAGAAUAUUUAUAUUUGCAAUCAUGCAAGGUAUCACCCACACCUAUGCUACAUGUACUCAAUACAUUUUAAGUCAACAAUGAAAACAAUGAAUUAUUCUGUGUGUAACUUGCAGAAUUGCAAAACUGCAAGACAUCAAAAGUCAGUGUUGCAUUAUAUUUUAAGAGGCUCAGUGUGUUGUAUCAUUAAAGUAAUUUAUAACAACCUACCAGAUCAUUGGGAGAGUCUUAGAGUUUUCCUAUAAGUGAUGGUGAUAUAUGUACAAUAUAGAAUGUAAACAUUUGUGGGUGACGCACAUCUUCUCGCCACAGUGCAUGUUCGCAGAUUGGUACUGUACAUUACCUUCAGACAAAUUUACAGAUUGUAUUCUAGACCCCUGGCUAUGUACGAUAGUAUGUGUGAUUCCUUUCCUUUUCCUCAGGGAGUUGAUAUAACGUUUUGUUAUUACAGGUUCUCAAUGCAGAUGUCAUACCUCUACGUUAACAGCUGUGUGCUACCCUAUGCCGCUUCAAGCUGAUGGAGCUUGGUUAGUGUUAAUUACAGUCGGUAAUGAGAGAACUGAUCCAGACUGUGAGACAUUGGAUAUUUUUAGAUCCUGCACUCAGUUGUCUAAAGUGGAGCUACAGCAUUUACAUAGAGAACUUAAUGUUGUUCAUAUGGCCCCUUCAGACAUCUUCAACAUUAGCAUGGACACUGUUUUUGCACAGAGAGUGCGCAGGUGUUGGCUUGAGUCAUUUGAUAGUUAAGGAUUUUCUGUUAUUAUCUGUCUCUGUGUUUCUAUGUUUACGGAAUGCAAUUGAUGUAUGCAUUAAAAUUGCGUCUUCACUCAUACAAAUGCCUGAGGGCAACACUGCUUCUUAUGGUCCACAAGACGAAGAUUUUAUGUUACCACUGU